ACUCGCAUUCGCGAGAGAUCCUUCACUAAUGUUCAGGAUGACACAAAGUGAAAAUCUGUUCAGUGGAGCCAAUCAGCAGGGAAGACUACACUUUUAUUAAAAGUGUAGGACCCUCAGAGACUACAUGUUGGGGUGUGGUAAAACACACAUGAUAUAGUCCGACCCUUGUGGCGACACAAGGAACAUGGCAGAAAUGCCCAUGUCCUCUUUAAACAGAGAGCAACAAAGUGAACUGUUCUACGGUGGGAAGCUAAGCCGCCGUAGUAAAAUUUGGCUAUAUGCUGGAAUAGCUCACGUAUCUGACAGUACUUAAAGAUGUCAUUCUGAGUGAAACGAAGAAUCUCGCAGCUUGUCUGCGUCAACUCGCAUUCGCGAGAGAUCCUUCACUAAUGUUCAGGAUGACACAAAGUGAAAAUCUGUUCAGUGGAGCCAAUCAGCAGGAAAGAUCCCGAGAGAAAUCGAGGGAAAUCCUCAGACACUAAUAUGCCAGAGCUUGUAGUAUUACAGGUAAGAUAGAGUGCGCUCUGCGUAGCGAUGCGCAGUUGAUAAUUGGGUGACCAAUUAUGUAAAUAACCUAUAAGAAGCGAAGUUCCUUGUCGGGUAAGUUCCGACCUGCACGAAAGGCGUAACGAGUUGGCAGCUGUCUUGACCUUCUGCUCGGCGAAAUUGCAAUGGCUGUGAAGAUGCGGCCUAAUUGCACCAGGACAAAAAGACCCCGUGGAGCUUUACUGUAGCUUGACAUUUCCCAGCCAUUUUUUGAUUGCUUAGAAUAGGAGGGAGUCCGCCCGCAAGGGCGAGACGCCAGUGAAAUACCUCUCUUCAGAAAAUGGCGGGAUUACCCAUAAGCCCUGGAAACGGGUUUGGGGACAGUGUUUAGCGGACAGUUUCACUGGGGCGGUGUCCUGCUAAAGAGUAACGCAGGAGCACAAAGGUUGGCUUACCACCGAUGGAAACGGUGGUGGACGUGUAAGGGCAUAAGCCAGCUUGACUGUGAGACUGACGGGUCGAACAGGUACGAAAGUAGGUCCUAGUGAUCCUCGAUAGUUUUGUGGAAGACUACGAGCUUAACGGAUAAAAGCUACCCCGGGGAUAACAGAGUAGUCGCGCCCGAGCGUCCAUAGCGGCGGCGCGGUUCGCUACCUCGAUGUCGGCUCAACAUAUCCUGGGGCUGGAGAAAACAUUUACCUUCUCUCCCUGUCAGAAAUGGCAGGGUAAUAAACAAGCCCAAAACGGAGGAGGCCAUUAUUGUACAUCCCAGGUUUUUCUGGUAUGUUUUAAUAUGGUUGGUUCCGUAGGAAAAGGAUGUUCUGAAGCUGAUAGGGCAUAUAUUGCAGGUCUUAUUGAUUGUGAUGGUGCUAUUAUGGCAUCUAUCGAAUCACAUAAGGAGAAGAAAUUUAGAUUUCGUGUAAGAGUAAUUUUACAGCUUACACAAAAGAAUAAAAAUCUUUUGCAAUGGGUACAUACUUUACUUGGUGUUGGAUACAUUAGACAAAAUCGAACGACGUUCGAUUGGAUAGCGAAAGAUCAACAU
rnacentral:rRNA from 1 species